GGUCGGACAGCAAAUUAUUGAUCAUAAUAAUUACAUAUUUGUCACUGCAUACGAAGUUCAAUGGUACGUAACUCCUUUACCCAUACAAAGGCUAAUAUUGAUUAUACUGCAAAGAGGUAUUAAAAGUUUUGGCCUGAAAGUCGGUGGAUUGUUUGUAGCGUCCUUAGAAUGUUUUGCCACGUUAAUAAAUGCAUCUGUUUCUUACUUUACUAUUAUGUAUUCAAUGCGAUUAUAACA